GUUGCAGGGUAUAGACCCGAAACCCGGUGAUCUAGCCAUGGGCAGGUUGAAGGUUGGGUAACACUAACUGGAGGACCGAACCGACUAAUGUUGAAAAAUUAGCGGAUGACCUGUGGCUGGGGGUGAAAGGCCAAUCAAACCGGGAGAUAGCUGGUUCUCCCCGAAAGCUAUUUAGGUAGCGCCUCGUGAAUUCAUCUCCGGGGGUAGAGCACUGUUUCGGCUAGGGGGCCAUCCCGGCUUACCAACCCGAUGCAAACUGCGAAUACCGGAGAAUGUUAUCACGGGAGACACACGGCGGGUGCUAACGUCCGUCGUGAAGAGGGAAACAACCCAGACCGCCAGCUAAGGUCCCAAAGUCAUGGUUAAGUGGGAAACGAUGUGGGAAGGCCCAGACAGCCAGGAUGUUGGCUUAGAAGCAGCCAUCAUUUAAAGAAAGCGUAAUAGCUCACUGGUCGAGUCGGCCUGCGCGGAAGAUGUAACGGGGCUAAACCAUGCACCGAAGCUGCGGCAGCGACGCUUAUGCGUUGUUGGGUAGGGGAGCG
rnacentral:rRNA from 2 species